GGAAGGUGCGAGCGUUAAUCGGGAAUCACUGGGCGUAAAGCGCGCGUAGGCGGUUAGGAAGUCAGAUGUGAAAGCCCCGGGGGCUUAACCUGGGGAACUGCGUUUGAUACUGCCUAACUAGAGUGUGAUAGAGGGAAGUGGAAUUCCACAUGUAGCGGUGAAAUGCGUAGAGAUGUGGAGGAACACCAAUGGCGAAGGCAACUUCCUGGAUCAACACUGACGCUCAGGUGCGAAAGCGUGGGGAGCAAACAGGAUUAGAUACCCUGGUAGUCCACGCUGUAAACGAUGUCUACUAGCCGUUGGGAGGGUUUGCCUCUUAGUGGCGCAGCUAACGCGAUAAGUAGACCGCCUGGGGAGUACGGCCGCAAGGUUA
rnacentral:rRNA from 1 species